rnacentral:rRNA from 1 species
AACGAACGCUGGCGGCAUGCCUAACACAUGCAAGUCGAACGAGACCUUCGGGUCUAGUGGCGCACGGGUGCGUAACGCGUGGGAACCUGCCCUUAGGGUCGGAAUAACUCCCCGAAAGGGGUGCUAAUACCGGAUAAUGUCUUCGGACCAAAGAUUUAUCGCCUUUGGAUGGGCCCGCGUUGGAUUAGCUAGUGGGUAGGGUAAAAGCCUACCAAGGCGACGAUCCAUAGCUGGUCUGAGAGGAUGAUCAGCCACACUGGGACUGAGACACGGCCCAGACUCCUACGGGAGGCAGCAGUGCGUAAUAUUGGACCAUGGGCGAAAGCCUGAUCCAGCACUGCCGGGUGAGUGAUGAAGGCCUUAGGGUUGUAAAGCUCUUUUACCCGGGAUGAUAAUGACGGUACCGGGAGAAUAAGCUCCGGCUAACUCCGUG